AAAAUCAGCCCAUCACUCUUGGAUUUCCCUGGUUUCACCAUCAAGCAGUCACGGUAUCUGCUAUGGAGGAGCUAGUGGUCCCUUCGGACAGGGCUGCCAGUACAAGACCGAGCAGCUCUGAGUGUCAAUAUGGCUCAAGGGUUGGUGUGUAUGAUUCUCAAGCUUGGUCAGAAGAGGAAGUGAAGCUUCAUAGACGUUGGUCCAGGUUUAAUUCUGGGCAUCCAUGUCCCAUGACUCAUACAGGAUGACACUAAGACAGUUCUAGACUAAUUUCCACCAAACCUCCUCCUCUCUCAUACCACAGAGCAGUCAGGGACUUCUUGUGCAUGCCAAGCCAGAAGAGAAAUUCAGUCUGGCCUGAGGAGGACUUUAUACUUCCCUGUGGUCUGGCGUGGACUCUUGCAUGGGCCAUUCUGGAAUCAUCUAGAACUCAACACUUUCAAACUGUCCCUGGACCCUCUCUACCAAAAGCCCACUGAGGGCAAGCCUGGGUCUUGCCUGACAUUGUAUCCCCCGUGCCUUUACAGCACUUGGCGCACAGCAGACACCAUGAGAAAGACAUGCCCUCACUAGCCACUGAUCCCAGAAAGAAAAUGAGACAUACUUGGAGCUCCCUUGAGCCAGCUGGACCUGAAGCUGAAAGUGGAGCUUAACUCUGCAGCUGACUGCCAGCCCAGCAGAAGAGGUAAAGAAAGGAGGAACAGGUGUUCUCUACUGGCCAAACCCAGGUGGGAGCCACAGGGCACCGGAGCCCUGGUGUUGGAGUCCAGACCCACAGGGUAGAGAAGGGUAGAAACGUGGAGCUGAAGUGACGCAGGGCAGAUCUGUGCCCAGCGGAUUCGUUCAUGCCUCCUGGCUGUCUGCAGAGCCUUGGAGACA